rnacentral:tRNA from 1 species
GAAAUAUAUAAAUUAAAGCUUCUAACUUUAAAAAAGAUAUUAAAAUAUCUAUAUUUCU